AUUGAACGCUGGCGGCAUGCCUUACACAUGCAAGUCGAACGGCAGCACGGGAGCAAUCCUGGUGGCGAGUGGCGAACGGGUGAGUAAUGUAUCGGAACGUACCUUUCAGUGGGGGAUAACGUAGCGAAAGUUACGCUAAUACCGCAUAUUCUGUGAGCAGGAAAGCAGGGGAUCGCAAGACCUUGCGCUGAUUGAGCGGCCGAUAUCAGAUUAGCUAGUUGGUGAGAUAAAGGCUCACCAAGGCGACGAUCUGUAGCGGGUCUGAGAGGAUGAUCCGCCACACUGGAACUGAGACACGGUCCAGACUCCUACGGGAGGCAGCAGUGGGGAAUUUUGGACAAUGGGCGCAAGCCUGAUCCAGCCAUGCCGCGUGAGUGAAGAAGGCC
rnacentral:rRNA from 1 species